ensembl:lncRNA
AUGAAUCCAUUUCCUGCCAAGACAGCAGCUACUCUUCCUGGGGUUUAUUAUGGAUCCCCAUUAGUUCCUGCCACUUCCUGGGGUUUAUUAUGGAUCCCCAUUAGUUGCUGCCAAGGCAGCAGCUACUCUUCCUGGGGUCUAGCAAAAUUAAGGCAGUUUAUACAAUUUGAAAAUCAUUACAAUACAAUAAGUAAUUUUUUUGUGUCACCUGACCACACGACAGAACAGUUGUCCAGGUGUGACAAAACUAGGGCCUGUAGGACCUGCCUUGUUGAUAGUGUUGUUAAGAAGGUAGACACUAGGGCCUGUAGGACCUGCCUUGUUGAUAGUGUUAUUAAGAAGGUAGAAACUAGGACCUGUAGGACCUGCCUUGUUGAUAGUGUUGUUAAGGUAGAAACUAGGGCCUGUAGGACCUGCCUUGUUGAUAGUGUUGUUAAGGUAGAAACUAGGGCCUGUAGGACAUGCCUUGUUGAUAGUGCUGUUAAGAAGGUAGAAACUAGAACCUGUAGGACCUGCCUUGUUGAUAGUGCUGUUAAGAAGGUAGAAACUAGGGCCUGUAGGACCUGCCUUGUUGAUAGUGUUGUUAAGAAGGUAGAAACUAGGGCCUGUAGGACCUGCCUUGUUGAUAGUGCUGUUAAGAAGGUAGAAACUAGAACCUGUAGGACCUGCCUUGUUGAUAGUGCUGUUAAGAAGGUAGAAACUAGGGCCAGUAGGACCUGCCUUGUUGAUAGUGUUGUUAAGAAGGUAGAAACUAGAGCCUGUAGGACCUGCCUUGUUGAUAGUGCUGUUAAGAAGGUAGAAACUAGGGCCUGUAGGACCUGCCUUGUUGAUAGUGUUGUUAAGAAGGUAGAAACUAGGACCUGUAGGACCUGCCUUGUUGAUAGUGCUGUUAAGAAGGUAGAAACUAGGACCUGUAGGACCUGCCUUGUUUAUAGUGUUGUUAAGGUAGAAACUAGGGCCUGUAGGACCUGCCUUGUUGAUAGUGCUGUUAAGAAGGUAGAAACUAGGGCCUGUAGGACCUGCCUUGUUGAUAGUGCUGUUAAGAAGGUAGAAACUAGGGCCUGUAGGACCUGCCUUGUUGAUAGUGUUGUUAAGAAGGUAGAAACUAGGACCUGUAGGACCUGCCUUGUUGAUAGUGCUGUUAAGAAGGUAGAAACUAGGACCUGUAGGACCUGCCUUGUUUAUAGUGUUGUUAAGGUAGAAACUAGGGCCUGUAGGACCUGCCUUGUUGAUAGUGCUGUUAAGAAGGUAGAAACUAGGGCCUGUAGGACCUGCCUUGUUGAUAGUGUUGUUAAGAAGGUAGAAACUAGGGCCUGUAGGACCUGCCUUGUUGAUAGUGUUGUUAAGAAGGUAGAAACCAGGGCCUGUAGGACCUGCCUUGUUAAUAAUGCUGUUAAGAAGGUAGAAACUAGGGCCUGUAGGAUCUGCCUUGUUGAUAGUGUUGUUAAGAAGGUAGAAACUAGGACCUGUAGGAUCUGCCUUGUUGAUAGUGUUGUUAAGAAGGUAGAAACUAGGACCUGCCUUGUUGAUAGUGCUGUUAAGAAGGUAGAAACUAGGGCCUGUAAGACCUGCCUUGUUGAUAGUGUUGUUAAGAAGGUAGAAACUAGGGCCUGUAAGACCUGCCUUGUUGAUAGUGUUGUUAAGAAGGUAGAAACUAGGGCCUGUAGGACCUGCCUUGUUGAUAGUGUUGUUAAGAAGGUAGAAACUAGGGCCUGUAAGACCUGCCUUGUUUAUAGUGUUAUUAAGAAGGUAGAAACUAGAACCUGUAGGACCUGCCUUGUUGAUAGUGCUGUUAAGAAGGUAGAAACUAGGGCCUGUAGGACCUGCCUUGUUGAUAGUGUUGUUAAGAAGGUAGAAACUAGGGCCUGUAGGACCUGCCUUGUUGAUAGUGCUGUUAAGAAGGUAGAAACUAGAACCUGUAGGACCUGCCUUGUUGAUAGUGCUGUUAAGAAGGUAGAAACUAGGGCCAGUAGGACCUGCCUUGUUGAUAGUGUUGUUAAGAAGGUAGAAACUAGAGCCUGUAGGACCUGCCUUGUUGAUAGUGCUGUUAAGAAGGUAGAAACUAGGGCCUGUAGGACCUGCCUUGUUGAUAGUGUUGUUAAGAAGGUAGAAACUAGGACCUGUAGGACCUGCCUUGUUGAUAGUGCUGUUAAGAAGGUAGAAACUAGGACCUGUAGGACCUGCCUUGUUUAUAGUGUUGUUAAGGUAGAAACUAGGGCCUGUAGGACCUGCCUUGUUGAUAGUGCUGUUAAGAAGGUAGAAACUAGGGCCUGUAGGACCUGCCUUGUUGAUAGUGCUGUUAAGAAGGUAGAAACUAGGGCCUGUAGGACCUGCCUUGUUGAUAGUGUUGUUAAGAAGGUAGAAACUAGGACCUGUAGGACCUGCCUUGUUGAUAGUGCUGUUAAGAAGGUAGAAACUAGGACCUGUAGGACCUGCCUUGUUUAUAGUGUUGUUAAGGUAGAAACUAGGGCCUGUAGGACCUGCCUUGUUGAUAGUGCUGUUAAGAAGGUAGAAACUAGGGCCUGUAGGACCUGCCUUGUUGAUAGUGUUGUUAAGAAGGUAGAAACUAGGGCCUGUAGGACCUGCCUUGUUGAUAGUGUUGUUAAGAAGGUAGAAACCAGGGCCUGUAGGACCUGCCUUGUUAAUAAUGCUGUUAAGAAGGUAGAAACUAGGGCCUGUAGGAUCUGCCUUGUUGAUAGUGUUGUUAAGAAGGUAUAA